rnacentral:misc_RNA from 1 species
UCAAUUCUCCUCACGGAGAUACCCACCUGUGGUCCUGUUGCAGUAGGCGCCCUUCAGUGGGUUAGCCGCACUUUUUUACUACAUUUACCAUUUACCUAAAUCCUAGUCUUUGCUUUGGUAAGCGCGAGAGCACGCCCUCGGGCAACGCUGCGUGUCCCUCCAUCGCAACCACACACUAACAAAAUA